UUCAGGUUGGGACUUUCUUCUCACACAACGACCGCAGGAUUUUAUCUUGGCUUCAAUGUCAUUGGCCAUUCGUGGCCAAUAAAACCUGGAUCGUAUUAGGUCAUGAGUACGCUCCCAUCCCAUGUGCCCCAUGUCAUCAUGGAGGAGCUUGAAAACUGUUGGUCUUAAGACUACUGGAAGAACCAGCUGAUAAACGUUUUGGCCAUGACAUUGCCGUGUCCUGGUUAGAAGACCAUUUUUAAUUUCAAAGCGUUUCCACUGUUUUAGCAUCAACUUCAUAUCAUGUGAUUCAUCCUUGAUGCUAUGUGGGCUGUCAACACCUGAUCGCAGUAAUUUAAUCACCUGGCCUAUGACUGGAUCAGCUUCCUGCUGCUCCUUGAGGUCAGAUUCAGAGAACAGGGGAACUGUCACCUGACCAAAUGUCUCCUGUUCAUAGGCAUCAGCAUAUGCCUAUGGCACACUGCUGCGACUUCAUGUGAAUCCAAGCUGAGAUCAGAUGGAGAUGAUGUCUGAAAUCGUGAGGUGAGCUGUCGGAUGCGUUCCGCCUCUUCCAGAGAAGCAUGGUCUGCAGCCAACUCACGAUGGGGUCGUCGUGACAAACCAUCCGCAUCCUGGUUUGCUUUCCCAGCCCUGUACUUGAUAUUAAAUUCAAAGGUGGACAAGGCUGCUAACCAGCGAUGGCUUGCGGCGUCCAGUUUGGCUGAGGAAAUGUAUGAAAAUCACGAUCGGGCAACGUAACCAGGCAGCAGUCAACAAAGAUUCCACCAGGCUGAGUCAAGGAGGGUCAAGAAAUCCUCCGGCUUAGAGAAAGGACCCAGAUGUUUGACAAUGCUGGCAGCAGGAGGUGUAUUGAUCUGUUCUGGUGACAAGAAUGGCGUGGAGCUCUCAACAGCAACAGGUAAAACUGCAUGGUCUGCUUUGGG